GCUACCUAUUCAAUGACGUCACAAAGUUCAUUGACCUUCGAGAUAAUUUUACAAACAUUAUUUCCAAGAUGGCGUCGAAACUCAAAGUUUAGUUGCAUGCAUUUUACUCGUAGACUAAAAUGUUCGAGAAGGAAAUGAUAAUAAUUUCAUAGUUUGGUCGUCAAGUAGGAUUGAAAUAGCCAAUAAAAAUUUUCGCUGCUAUUGUCCUUUAAAUAUUUUAAAUUAAUAUAUUUACGUUUAAACAGGUAAUGUGGUAAUCAAACAAGCUCCAGGGUCCUUCAUUUUUUCGUUGAGAAAUAGGGACAAUCUCCCGCCAUUUAAAGCUCCACUGAAAGAUCAAAAUGAUACUUAUGCAGUUGUGGCUAGUCGUAAUACUGGACCAUGGUUUGGAAGAGGUGUAGACUUCUGGAUUGGCAACAAUGCUGCUUCGCACGCUAACUCACAAUCAGGUUUUGGUUUUUCCUACCAAUCCCCACCUGGCGUCCGCGAUCGCUUCACCAUCUUGGCAGGAACCAAUCCAUUUGUUCCAUCUCAAGUUGAGGUAUUUUAUCUUCUGUAAAACUAUUUCGAUAUAUUCACUGAACCGAGUAUUGUUAUUUUAAAACCAAUCUACGAUUUUGCUAGCUUAGUUCACGAACAUCAAAUAUUGUCUUAGGCCUCGACCAAACGGCAUGCAAGUCAUUGAAAGUUUUAAAUUCUGCGGCAUAAAAAAUAUUUCAAUCACAUGCAGAUAUUUUAAGAGAUUUGGGGUCGAUCAUUGAACUGAUUUCAACUAAAAUAAUAGAAAAACAAAACUGCUGUUAACACAUCUUAUGCAAACGGUUGCCUGACUAUUUCAAGCCUUAAGCGUAUAUUAAAAUAUAAAAUAUUACAAAAUCCAUCCUUCACCCUUAACACUUACCUUGACCUCGACAAGAUAGUACAUAAAACCGUACAAUACCGAAAAUAUCCUGAUAAAAAUAUUAACGUGUCAAGUUUUUAAACGCAGCUAAAAUAUGUAAUUUCUAACGGGGUGUUUUUUAGCGAAUUUACUUCCUAGGUUCUUUGUGUUGUUUGAUCAAUUAAUUCAUUCCUUUUUCUCAAUUUCCCUUUUCUUCAAAAGCUAAAACUUGCGACGACUUGUGUCCCAUUAGGAUUACUCCAAAAUAAGUAUACUAUCGGUACCAAGAUAUAUAAUAAGAUGUAGUAAUGUAAUGUAAAAUUUUGUCAUAGUUUAAAUAAAGUCGAUUGGUUUAAAGUUCAAUGCGUGACAAUUUUUGUGGUAUUAAUUUUUUAUUAAUUACGGAUAAUAAACUAUCCGAAACG